AUUGAACGCUGGCGGCAUGCUUUACACAUGCAAGUCGAACGGCAGCGGGUCCUUCGGGAUGCCGGCGAGUGGCGAACGGGUGAGUAAUGCAUCGGAACGUACCCAGUCGUGGGGGAUAACGCAGCGAAAGUUGUGCUAAUACCGCUUACGACCUGAGGGUGAAAGUGGGGGACCGGUAACGGCCUCACGCGAUUGGAGCGGCCGAUGUCUGAUUAGCUAGUUGGGGGGGUAAAGGCCCACCAAGGCGGCGAUCAGUAGCGGGGCUGAGAGGAUGAUCCGCCACACUGGGACUGAGCCACGGCCCAGACUCCUACGGGAGGCAGCAGUGGGGAAUUUUGGACAAUGGGGGCAACCCUGAUCCAGCCAUGCCGCGUGCGGGAAGAAGGCCUUCGGGUUGUAAACCGCUUUCGGACGGAAAGAAAUCGCAUGGGUUAAUACCCUGUGUGGAUGACGGUACCGUAAGAAGAAGCACCGGCUAACUACGUGCCAGCCGCCGCCGUAAGAC
rnacentral:rRNA from 1 species